rnacentral:rRNA from 1 species
AUUCCAGCUCCAAUAGCGUAUAUUAAUGUUGUUGCAGUUAAAAAGCUCGUAGUUGGAUUUCUGGUUGGACCGCGAUGCCGGACUCGCAAGGGUUCGUGAUUGUUGUGGUUUCCUUCCAUCCUCAGGUUUGCGCGUGCUGGCCUUAACUGGUCGGUGGGUGUGGUCCUGUCGUUUACUGUGAACAAAUUAGAGUGUUCAAAGCAAGGUGUACUUGAAUACAUUAGCAUGGAAUAAUGGAAUAGGACUAUAGUCUCGUCGUUGGUUACGUGGACUGCAGUAAUGAUUAAUAGGGAUAGUUGGGGGCAUUAGUAUUUAUUAGCUAGAGGUAGAAUUCUCUAAUUUGAUAAAGACUAACUUAUGCGAAAGCAUUUGCCAAGGAUGUUUUCAUCG